rnacentral:rRNA from 1 species
AUUGAACGCUGGCGGAAUGCUUUACACAUGCAAGUCGAACGGCAGCACGGACUUCGGUCUGGUGGCGAGUGGCGAACGGGUGGGUAAUGUAUCGGAACGUGCCCAGUUGUGGGGGAUAACGUAGUGAAAAUUACGCUAAUACCGCAUGCGAUCUAUGGAUGAAAGCGGGGGAUCGCAAGACCUCGCGCGAUUGGAGCGGCCGAUAUCAGAUUAGGUAGUUGGUGGGGUAAAGGCCCACCAAGCCAACGAUCUGUAGCUGGUCUGAGAGGACGACCAGCCACACUGGAACUGAGACACGGUCCAGACUCCUACGGGAGGCAGCAGUGGGGAAUUUUGGACAAUGGGCGAAAGCCUGAUCCAGCCAUUCCGCGUGCAGGACGAAGGCCCUCGGGUUGUAAACUGCUUUUGUACAGAACGAAAAGGUUUCUACUAAUACUAGGAGCUCAUGACGGUACUGUAAGAAUAAGCACCGGCUAACUACGUGCCAGCAGCCGCCGUAA